rnacentral:rRNA from 1 species
UACGAGGGGGGCGAGCGUUGUUCGGAAUUAUUGGGCGUAAAGGGUGCGUAGGCGGUUUGGUAAGUCUUGUGUGAAAUCUACAGGCUCAACUUGUAGUCUGCACGAGAAACUGCCGGGCUUGAGUAUGGGAGAGGAAAGUGGAAUUCCUGGUGUAGCGGUGAAAUGCGUAGAUAUCAGGAGGAACACCGGUGGUGUAAACGGCUUUCUGGACCAUAACUGACGCUGAGGCACGAAAGCGUGGGUAGCAAACAGG